rnacentral:lncRNA from 1 species
UAAAAUUCAACAAUUUGAAUAUAAGCAGUUUUAAUAUUAUUUGAUAUGUGGUUUUCACUCUAUUGAUCUCAAUAUUAUCUGAGUGACCGUUGAGUUAUCGUCAUCUAGCAUUCAUGUUCUCUGAGUGAUUUUUUAGUAUAGUCCAAAUAUUUUUUAUUUAUAUUCUCUUUGAUGAAAUCUUUAUGCAAUUAUCCAAAUCAUUUUGAUUUAUGUCUUUUUUUGCUUAAUUUUCUUAUAGUUAUUGCAUUUGCUUCAGAUGUGCUUGAAUGAGUAUGUUCAUGGGUUGUCAUUAGAGGCAUUGAGAUUCCGAGAAUCACUGUCUGGAAAGGUAGUUAUCAAUUUACUUUGUCGUCUUCUUUUUACGGGUUGUCAUCAGAGGCCUUGAGUUCUUUUCUCAUACAUUUAUGUUGUUGUUUUACUCAACUAGAAAUUGCCUACAUCUUGAUGAGGCUCCAUUUGGAUCCAUAUAAUAUUGGAUGGAAG